rnacentral:miRNA from 1 species
UAAGCUGCCAUGAAAGAACUAA